UGGGUUGCAGCUCAGUGGUAGAGCACUUGCCUCACAUGUAUGAAGUACUGGGUUCGAUACUCAGCACCACAU
rnacentral:tRNA from 1 species